AUGAACGCUGGCGGCGUGCCUAAUCCAUGCAAGUCGAGCGAACAGAUGAGGAGCUUGCUCCUCUGACGUUAGCGGCGGACGGGUGAGUAACACGUGGAUAACCUACCUAUAAGACUGGGAUAACUUCGGGAAACCGGAGCUAAUACCGGAUAAUAUAUUGAACCGCAUGGUUCAAUAGUGAAAGACGGUUUUGCUGUCACUUAUAGAUGGAUCCGCGCCGCAUUAGCUAGUUGGUAAGGUAACGGCUUACCAAGGCAACGAUGCGUAGCCGACCUGAGAGGGUGAUCGGCCACACUGGAGCUGAGACACGGUCCAGACUCCUACGGGAGGCAGCAGUAGGGAAUCUUCCGCAAUGGGCGAAAGCCUGACGGAGCAACGCCGCGUGAGUGAUGAAGGUCUUCGGAUCGUAAAACUCUGUUAUUAGGGAAGAACAAAUGUGUAAGUAACUAUGCACGUCUUGACGGUACCUAAUCAGAAAGCCACGGCUAACUACGUG
rnacentral:rRNA from 1 species